rnacentral:piRNA from 1 species
UGAUUAUCAUUGGGGAGCGAUUAACUU